CUUACAAGCACCCCAUUUUGUCCUUUGCAAAUCACAUGGUAUAAAAUGGUAGAACCUGGGGAUUCCAUUGGACAAAACGGUACAAAAUAGUACAAAAUGGCCGCAGACAAUCCCCUAACAAUCACCAUUAUCUUCCCGGCAGAAUGACAAAACCAACAAAUUCCCGACAUGGUUGGGACAGAAUUCGAUGACAAAAAGCCACUAAAUCCCCACCAAGUCCCCUCUUUGCCCGGGGCGGGGGGGGGGGGUCUACUUUGACUGGUGCAUUAAUAAAAUAAACUGUUCUUACAGUUCAUAUAACCAAUUCAGGGUCACAAGGCAUUAUGGUAAAAUUGACACCUGCCAUCAUUUUUAUUAUGGUGAAUUUCAAACAUACAGUUCAACUGGUCUAUUUCAAUUUUAUUUCUUUGGAUAUUGUACUUUAUCUAAGGAAUAUUAAAGCCUACACUACUGUAUAUAUCACAUAUUUUGUAAAUACUUUCAACAUUGUUAUGUUGCUAUUUGGACACUGUAGAGUGUACACUGCUGAAACAAUGUACCAUAUAACAUAUUUUAAAAAUAAUUUCAAAUAUUGUAUUGCUAUUUUUGCACAGCCACUGUGGACAUCAGCUUCAGAUGACAGGGGUAAAUGAAAUUAAUCUUAAUAUGUCUAUCUACCUAUCUAUCUAUUUUUAGUAUCACCAAAUUAAUAAAUUCAAUUGAGUGACAAAAAUAUCCAUUCUAUUAACAAAUGCAUGAUGUCUGCUUUUGCUGUUGGAUAUUUCAAUUAUUUGUUCUUUCAACGGUUCGAAAGUACAUACAGUGUCAGUGAGGAUUUAUACUAUUCAAUAUUUGAGAUAAAACAGUAACACUGUUAUCACUCGAGUCAAAUUAUAUCCAUUAUUUCAGAAUUAUUUCAUAGAUGUUUUAUGUAAACAUAAUUAUGGACUUGAUAUUUUUUUGUGUGUGUGUUUUGAUGCUACAUAUGUACUCAGGUGAAAAUAAUUUAAUGUUUCUUGAUCUGCUCUGAAAACACAUUGGUAUUGAAGGUACUAGACUUAGUUCUGAAAUACCAAACACUUGAACAGACUUGGCCUUGUAGCUCAGUUGGCAGAACAUUGGACAAGGUAGUUGUCCCACCGCAUGACCAUGCAAACUUUUCAGCCUGUCCGGUGAGGAUAUCCACUCAGAGUAAAAAAAAAUAAUAAUUAUGGAGAGUCC